rfam:Strongyloides papillosus strain LIN genome assembly, scaffold: SPAL_contig0000249
CCAACGGCCCUCUUUAGGGCCACCCAAAAGAUACUCAUUUUUUUUG